AAUCCUCCAGUUUUUUGACCGGAGCCCCUGCACCGCUCCUGUCAUGUUCACGAAAAAACUAAUGGGAAUCAUAUUCCCACAAUAGCUAACGGUGGAGUUUGCGAUAACGAAUUGAUUACGUAACGGAAUUAUUGCUCCGCUUUUAAUAUCGUGCAUGCGUUGUACAUAGUACACGGGGAGUGAUCUCAUUUUGUGAAAACAGUGAUAAAGUGCAGGUACUACGUGAUGUACCCAGCGCUCGGGAUUAGUAAUGUAGCGGAUUCACUAUACUAUUAUCGGAUCUGUCAUCGUAGGGUACGCUUUUAGAGGUCUUUCUAAUUUGAAUUCAUCUGAUGUAACCUUAUCCGAACGUGGUGCGGCUGUAUUUUCCCUUUCAAUGUACCACUUAACUAUUAUUUCUAAAAGUAUGUGCCUUGAAACGCUUUCCUCGACUUGACUUGUAGUAUAGAGCGUGUUUCGAAACAUUUAGGAGAAAUAUCUUCUCUCUGUCUGUAUGAGUACUACAGACAAGUAACCCCAUAAGUGCAAUACACAUCAUGACCGUGCCUUUACCGUUCUAUAGACUUUGAGAGGGACGUAAUUAACAAUAGGUUUUUAAAAUACGCUUUCCUCGAUGGAGGGUCACCUACCAACGAUUACUUUUGUAUUUUUGUAAAAUGUCCAGCUUGGUUUGUUAUGUUUUGUAAUAAUUAAGACGCAGUUAAUAGUAUGUAUAAUAGAGGAAAGUGAGUUAGGACCAAAAAGUCUUUCAAUAAACGUGCGUCAAUUGGAUAAAUCUUUACGAAAUUACCAUCACAAUAGGAUAAGAUGUAACUGAAUAACAACGACAUAAAUUCAUGACUAAUGUAGAAUUUCGAUACUUUUUUGGCAAUUUUGUAUACAUACUCACAUAAUAUAAUUGUACAUUUGUGUAUUGCAGUUUAUUGGUAAAAAAAUAAUCUAGCCUCUUACACAUACACUUGUGUCCAAAAAAUCAAAAUUAUAAGUAGAUAGACAUAAUUUUUAAAAUAUGCCAAUCGUUUUACUAAUAACCGUAUCCAAUCAAAUGACACUAUAAACAGCUAUGCCUAUUGUAUUCCUCUGAUUUCUUAUUACAAUAAAUUAAAAAAUUAAAUGAGUUUUGUUCGAUACAUGUGUUAUAAUAUAAAUGUAAUAAAAGAAUUUAAAGGACAGUAAUAGAUUCCGCGUCUGAAAAUAAUGUCAUUUACACAAUUUAAAGUAUACCUACAUUGAAAUCAUAUUCAUUUAAUUCAAACUUAACUUUCUAAAAUAAUUAGAUAUUUAAAAUAAUUUGUCUUGUCUUCUUACAAUGUGCCAAAAAAUAAAAAAUAAAGUAAAUACACAAAGGAUGUGACAUUAACUAAAUGUAUUUCCAACUCAUUUUUAUCUUCAUUAUAGGUUGCCUCAUAUUCACUUAAUUAGCGGCAACACAGCUAAACCUUUGUAUAUUUUAUACUCAUAAGAUCAAUCGACGCGUAGAUCUCUAGAAUACCAUAGAUAGAAUUUAAAGAUGACAUUAGAGAGGCUUAAAUAUUUAAAACUCAUUGCGGUUAUAACUGCUUUUAGUACUUUUAGAUUUUACCAAUAUCUAUACAAAAACGCACGAACGUUUAGUCGUUAAUAGGCAUGACAUUUUAACCUAAGUAUAAACCCAAUUAAGUUUUUAUUUGUGCCAUAAGAACGCUUUGUGAUUUUGAACGACUGUAUGUAAUGUGUUGUAAUAUUAUAAUAAUGCAAGGAGGAUUAAAUGCUUCAUUUUUACUGAGUCAGGUGUCCCUUAUGUCCGUGAUUUUAAAGUAUACCUAUGAUGUUACUUGUACAAUCUAUACGCCUAUAUACAGAUACUACAUGAAUCUUCUUCACGCUAGAGCCCUUUACAAGUCGCUUUUUCUUCGAGUUACAAGCCAAGAUAUUCGUCAACGACUUGAUUCAAGAGUGGCAGAAAGGAUAUUUGUCCUAACAUAAAAUAUAUAGAUGAAAUAAAAAUAUUAGAUAUGACAGGAAAACGAACAAUUAAAUUCUUUGUUAUACAAACGUCUUAACGUACUUAUACAUUCAUUGUCAGUAUUUGUCGUGUUUCUAUUAUAUGUAAAUAAAGAUAUCGAAUGCUCAUGUUUAGUUGACUCAAGCUCAUACGAUAUUAUACAGUGUAUAUUUUGCACUAAUACAAUAAUAAGUAUGUUGAUUUACAUUAAAAUAUUCAUCAUAGAAUUAAGGAACCCGACUGAAUAGUCAACAUUUUUACGCAUUGUAAAAAUUGACGUUAGAGUAGUAAAAUGUAGAUAAACAUUUUAUUCGAGCGAACAGCAAAGUUUUUGAUGCGUAGACAUGGAGUCUGUACCCGUGUUCAGUCGAUUAGAAACAUUCCAUUAUCUGUUUUUAUAAUAUAUUUGUGUAUGUGGAUAUUGUUAACUUUCACGUCAUACAUUUUAUGGGACGCAGGCUCUGUGUCUAGUUGAAUGUUAUUGCCUAUUUUAUUUAUUAAAAUUUUCUCUCUUGUGGUUGACUGAAAUUAUUAAGUUUCAAAUAAGUAUAUAAGGAAUCACUUAUUGUGUAUAAUUUUAAAUUUGAUCUAUUCAUAUUCUAUGUAUUAUAAAGCUAUUAAAAUAUUUUAAUAAGUAUGUAUCUAUUUUUCUAUGGUCGAGCAUUUUCACUUCUGAUAUAUCUACUUAUACUUAUUAGUGUUAAAAUAUAUUUUCUCGUCGUAAAUUAGGUAGUGUAUACAACGUAUAUUAUGUUACGGUUCUUAUACGGUGGUUUAUAAUUACAAUAUAAUAAUUCACUUACAUUUUAUAUUUCUCGUAUGUCGUAAAUUAUUUCCUUUAAUUUUUUCAUAUUUGAAAGUCUGGUUGGCUUGGCUGAAUUAGGAAUUGAGAGAACUCAUAAGCUCAAAAUAAUACUUAGCGAUAACAUAUACAUUAUUGUAUGUCAUCAUUUGUCACGAAUAAAUUUAAAUAAAUGUAAUAAUAUAAAA
rnacentral:lncRNA from 1 species